GAUGAACGCUGGCGGCGUGCCUAAUACAUGCAAGUCGAGCGAACAGACGAGGAGCUUGCUCCUCGGACGUGAGCGGAGGACGGGUGAGUAACACGUGGAUAACCUACUUAUAAGAGUGGGAAAACUACGAGAAACCGGAGCUAAUAGCGGAUAAGAUAUUGAACCGCAGGGGGCAAUAGAGAAAGACGGUGGUGGGGGCACGAAUAGAGGGAUCCGCGCCGGAUGAGCUAGUUGGUAAGGUAACGGGUUACCAAGGCAACGAGGCGUAGCCGAGCUGUGAGGGUGAUAGGCCACCCUGGAACUGAGCCACGGUCCAUACUCCUACGGGAGGCACCAGUAUCGAAUCUUCCGCAAUGGGCGAAAGCCUGACGCAGCAACGCCGCGUGAGUGAUGACGGUCUCCGGUUCGUAAAACUCUGUUAUUAGUGAAGAACCACUGUGUACGUAACUAUGCCCGUCUUGACGGUACCUAAUCAGAAAGCCACGGCUAACUACGUG
rnacentral:rRNA from 1 species